CGUUAAUCGGAUUUACUGGGCGUAAAGCGUGCGUAGGCGGCUUUUUAAGUCGGAUGUGAAAUCCCUGAGCUUAACUUAGGAAUUGCAUUCGAUACUGGGAAGCUAGAGUAUGGGAGAGGAUGGUAGAAUUCCAGGUGUAGCGGUGAAAUGCGUAGAGAUCUGGAGGAAUACCGGUGGCGAAGGCGGCCCCCUGGACAAAGACUGACGCUCAGGUGCGAAAGCGUGGGGAGCAA
rnacentral:rRNA from 14 species